CCUACGGGAGGCAGCAGUGGGGAAUUUUGGACAAUGGGCGCAAGCCUGAUCCAGCCAUGCCGCGUGUGGGAAGAAGGCCUUCGGGUUGUAAACCACUUUUGUCAGGGAAGAAACGGCUCUUACUAAUAUUAGGAGCUAAUGACGGUACCUGAAGAAUAAGCACCGGCUAACUACGUGCCAGCAGCCGCGGUAAUACGUAGGGUGCAAGCGUUAAUCGGAAUUACUGGGCGUAAAGCGUGCGCAGGCGGCUUUAGCAAGACAGAUGUGAAAUCCCCGGGCUCAACCUGGGAACUGCAUUUGUGACUGCAUGGCUAGAGUACGGUAGAGGGGGAUGGGAAUUCCGCGUGUAGCAGUGAAAUGCGUAGAUAUGCGGAGGAACACCGAUGGCGAAGGCAAUCCCCUGGACCCGUACUGACGCUCAUGCACGAAAGCGUGGGGAGCAAACAGGAUUAGAUACCCUGGUAGUCCACGCCCUAAACGAUGUCAACUGGUUNUUGGACGGCUUGCUGUUCAGUACGAAGCUAACGCGUGAAGUUGACCGCCUGGGGNGCGCGCGAGUAGACGAGAGAGAGUGAGNGAGAGAGNGACGACGGACGACGACGGAGGAGGAGG
rnacentral:rRNA from 1 species